rnacentral:rRNA from 1 species
ACGGCGAGUGAAGCGGUAAAAGCUCAAAUUUGAAAUCUGGUACUUUCAGUGCCCGAGUUGUAAUUUGUAGAAUUUGUCUUUGAUUAGGUCCUUGUCUAUGUUCCUUGGAACAGGACGUCAUAGAGGGUGAGAAUCCCGUUUGGCGAGGAUACCUUUUCUCUGUAAGACUUUUUCGAAGAGUCGAGUUGUUUGGGAAUGCAGCUCAAAGUGGGUGGUAAAUUCCAUCUAAAGCUAAAUAUUGGCGAGAGACCGAUAGCGAACAAGUACAGUGAUGGAAAGAUGAAAAGAACUUUGAAAAGAGAGUGAAAAAGUACGUGAAAUUGUUGAAAGGGAAGGGCAUUUGAUCAGACAUGGUGUUUUUUGCAUGCACUCGCCUCUCGUGGGCUUGGGCCUCUCAAAAAUUUCACUGGGCCAACAUCAAUUCUGGCAGCAGGAUAAAUCAUUAAGAAUGUAGCUACUUCGGUAGUGUUAUAGCUUUUUGGAAUACUGUUAGCCGGGAUUGAGGACUGCGCUUCGGCAAGGAUGUUGGCAUAAUGGUUAAAUGCCGCCCGUC